ACGGAUAACACACUUGGCCGGGGAAGAUCGUUCUCGAACCCCUCGCGGGCCCUGGAAGAAAUCAGACAACUGCAAACUACUACCCAUAGCCUGAUCCCCAGACUGCCGUUCGGUCGUGUCAUAAGGGAAAUUCUAUUGAAGCAUGGAAACCAUAACAUGCGAGUUUCCCUGGAUGCGCUGUACUGUCUACAGGAAGCCGCCGAAAUUUAUGUCGUCCAACUGUUCGAGGAUUCCUACCGAUGCACUACUCAUCGGGAUCGCGUUACUUUACAGCCGAAGGACAUGAACCUGGCAAUGUAUCUGAGACAUACCUCGCAGGGCAUUUGAAAUGUGUACCGCCGUCAUUGAUUGAUGUUACCGUUAAUUUAAUUUAUUAAUUUGUAUUUUAAUUUAAUCUGUUUUUAAUGAGUUCGUAAUAAGACAAGGAAGAGACUGGUUUUACACCAACUACUUGAACUAAAAAUGUGGAUAUGUUAGUAACAACCUUAUGUACCAGUUCUGAAAACUUCUCUAAUUUCAAGGCAGAUUCAAAACUUAAGAAAACAUUUCUCUGCACUUUUUUCUUCUAAUAAUAAUCUGUACUGGAAUUUACAAUCUAUUAAAAGUAUACUCCCGGGCUUCAAUGUUGAACGAUGUACGUCAGCGUAAUCUUUGUUGCAUUCACAGAUUUGGAAAGAAUGGUUAUUAAAAUACCUGCAACACAGCUGUUUUCGCUAUUUUUGUUAUUUCCACACAGUCUGGUCCGAAACCCUGGUGAGGUGAUGGGGCAAAACAAUCCUCCGACCUUAUAAAGAAUUAUGAUGAGGCACCGAACGGAGCACGCGUAUCACGGAUGAGGAAACAGAAAAUUUCGGAACCGAAAACCUCGACGACCGACGGCCAAAGCCAGACUGGUUUCGCAGCCAGAGUCAGUCCAGUUGGUUAGGAGGAAAACCAUUGACAUUGAUGUAUCCUUUGGGAAAAAGCAACCGAAGGGAUUCAUCUUCAUGGAACUCAGCAUGGAAAAAAGCAUUCAAAGCGUGCGUGGAGGAAAAAUGAGCGCUAUUUUCCACGUUCAUUCCAGAGCAAAGCGGUGGGUGCGGAAAAUCUGCGACUGAUUAGGGUGGUUCGAUUAUUUUUGAUACAUGGACAUGAAUGGUAAGUUAAUUUUUGUUUUGUUUAAAUUAAUUGGAUUAGCAUUUAAACUACGUAUUUAAAAAAUAUGUAAGUCUAUAAUGUCAACUACACAACAUUAUUAAGAAAUU